GACGAACGCUGGCGGCGUGCUUAACACAUGCAAGUCGUACGGUAAGGCCCUUUCGGGGGUACACGAGUGGCGAACGGGUGAGUAACACGUGAGUAACCUGCCCACAACUUUGGGAUAACGCUAGGAAACUGGUGCUAAUACUGGAUAUGUGCUCCUGCUGCAUGGUGGGGGUUGGAAAGCUCCGGCGGUUGUGGAUGGACUCGCGGCCUAUCAGCUUGUUGGUGGGGUAGUGGCCUACCAAGGCGGCGACGGGUAGCCGGCCUGAGAGGGUGACCGGCCACAUUGGGACUGAGAUACGGCCCAGACUCCUACGGGAGGCAGCAGUGGGGAAUAUUGCACAAUGGGCGCAAGCCUGAUGCAGCAACGCCGCGUGCGGGAUGACGGCCUUCGGGUUGUAAACCGCUUUCAGCAGGGACUAAGCUUUUUGUGACGGUACCUGCAGAAGAAGCACCGGCUAACUACGUG
rnacentral:rRNA from 1 species